rnacentral:rRNA from 1 species
AUGGAAAGCAAUAGGGCUCCUGGACCUGAUAAUAUCUGCGAGUUUUAUAAACACUGCUGGGAUUUCGUCAAAAAAGAUAUAUUGCGGUUGUUUGAAGCCUUUCACAAUAAUACCCUGGAUGUAGCCCGUCUGAAUUAUGGCAUUAUCACCUUGAUUCCCAAGCUGAAUGGGGCCAAACGAAUUCAGCAAUAUCGUCCUAUCUGCCUGCUUUGAUGCCCCUAUAAGCUUAUUACUAAGGUGUUGGACAAUAGGGUGGCUAUCUUCGCUGAUAAGCUGAUCAGUAAACACCAAAAUGCCUUCAUCAAACAUAGGAACAUUAUGGAUGGGAUGCUUACAUUGCAUGAAGUGCUG